rnacentral:rRNA from 1 species
GAUGAACGCUGGCGGCGUGCCUAAUACAUGCAAGUCGAGCGAAUGGAUUAAGAGCUUGCUCUUAUGAAGUUAGCGGCGGACGGGUGAGUAACACGUGGGUAACCUGCCCAUAAGACUGGGAUAACUCCGGGAAACCGGGGCUAAUACCGGAUAACAUUUUGAACCGCAUGGUUCGAAAUUGAAAGGCGGCUUCGGCUGUCACUUAUGGAUGGACCCGCGUCGCAUUAGCUAGUUGGUGAGGUAACGGCUCACCAAGGCAACGAUGCGUAGCCGACCUGGGAGGGAGAUCGGCCACACUGGGAAUGAGACACGGCCCAGACUCCUACGGGAGGCAGCAGUAGGGAAUCUUCCGCAAUGGACGAAAGUCUGACGGAGCAACGCCGCGUGAGUGAUGAAGGCUUUCGGGUCGUAAAACUCUGUUGUUAGGGAAGAACAAGUGCUAGUUGAAUAAGCUGGCACCUUGACGGUACCUAACCAGAAAGCCACGGCUAACUACGUGCCAGCAGCCGCUGUAA